rnacentral:rRNA from 1 species
CCUACGGGUGGCAGCAGUUAGGAAUAUUGGUCAAUGGGCGCGAGCCUGAUCCAGCCAAGUCGCGUGAAGGAUGACUGCUCUAUGGGUUGUAAACUUCUUUUAUAUAGGAAUAAAGUGAGGCACGUGUGCCUUUUUGUCUGUACUUUAUACAUCAGCAUCGGCUAACUCAGUACCCGCAGCCGCGGUAAGACGGAGGAUUCGAGCGUUAUCCGGAUGUAUUGGGUUUAAAGGGUGCGUAGAUGGGUAGUUAAGUCAGUUGUGAAAGUUUGCGGCUCAACCAUAAAAUUGCAUUUGAAACUGGCAGUCUUGAGUACAGUUGAGGUAGGCGGAAGGCGUGGUGUAGCGGUGAAAUGCUUAGAUAUCACGAAGAACUCCGAUUGCGAAGGCAGCUUACUAAACUACCACUGACAGUGAUGCUCGAAAGUGUGGGGAUCAAACAGGAUUAGAUACCCGAGUAGUC